rnacentral:rRNA from 1 species
UGUCAGCAGCCGCGGUAAUACGUAGGGUGCAAGCGUUAAUCGGAAUUACUGGGCGUAAAGCGUGCGCAGGCGGUUGUGCAAGACAGAUGUGAAAUCCCCGGGCUUAACCUGGGAACUGCAUUUGUGACUGCACGGCUGGAGUACGGCAGAGGGGGAUGGAAUUCCGCGUGUAGCAGUGAAAUGCGUAGAUAUGCGGAGGAACACCGAUGGCGAAGGCAAUCCCCUGGGCCUGUACUGACGCUCAUGCACGAAAGCGUGGGGAGCAAACAGGAUUAGAUACCCUGGUAGUCCACGCCCUAAACGAUGUCAACUGGUUGUUGGGAGGGUUUCUUCUCAGUAACGAAGCUAACGCGUGAAGUUGACCGCCUGGGGAGUACGGCCGCAAGGUUGAAACUCAAAUGAAUUGGCGG